AGGGCGCAUGGUGAAUGCCUUGGCAUCAGGAGUCGAAGAAGGUCGCGAUAAGCUGCGAUAAGCUUGGGGUAGGCGCACAUAGCCUGUGAUCCCGAGAUGACCGAAUGAGGAAACUCACCACGAGAGUGGUAUCCAUACAUGAAUUCAUAGUGUAUCGGAGGACAAACCCAGAGAACUGAAACAUCUUAGUACCUGGAGGAAGAGAAAGAAAUAUCGAUUUUCUUAGUAGCGGCGAGCGAAAAGGAAAGAGCCCAAACCAUGGAGCUUGCUCUGUGGGGUUGCGGUAUACCCACCAAAGAGAGUGAAAGACAGCCGAACAUGUUGGGAAACAUGACCGCAGAAGGUGAAAGACCUGUAGGCGAAAGCGGAAACUCUUGAGGGUAUAACCAGAGUACCACCGGACACGAGAAACCCGGUGGGAAGCAGGGAGGACCACCUCCCAAGGCUAAAUACUACCUGAUGACCGAUAGUGAAGAAGUACCGUGAGGGAAAGGUGAAAAGAACCCCGGAAGGGGAGUGAAAUAGAAUCUGAAACCGUGUGCCUACAACCGGUCAGAGCACCAUAAGCGUGUGAUGACGUGCUUUUUGUAGAACGAGCCAACGAGUUACGAUAUGUAGCAAGGUUAAGUACUUCAGGUACGGAGCCGAAGGGAAACCGAGUCUUAAUAGGGCGUUUAGUUGCAUGUCGUAGACCCGAAACCGGGUGACCUAUCCAUGGACAGGUUGAAGCGAGAGUAAAAUCUCGUGGAGGACCGAACCACAUUGGUGUUGAAAAACCAUGGGAUGAGCUGUGGAUAGCGGAGAAAUUCCAAUCGAACCCGGAGAUAGCUGGUUCUCCUCGAAAUAGCUUUAGGGCUAGCGUUGGGUGAUGAGUCAUGGAGGUAGAGCACUGAAUGGGCUAGGGGGCAUAUAGCUUACUGAACCUUAUCAAACUCCGAAUGCCAUACACUUUAACCCAGCAGUCAGACAGUGACAGAUAAGUGCCAUUGUCAAAAGGGAAAAAGCCCAGAUCGUCAGCUAAGGUCCCCAAGUAUAGGUUAAGUGGAAAAGGAUGUGGGAUUUCUAAGACAACUAGGAUGUUGGCUUAGAAGCAGCCACUCAUUAAAAGAGUGCGUAAUAGCUCACUAGUCGAGAGAUCCUGCGCCGAAGAUGUCCGGGGCUAAAACUUGUCACCGAAGCUACGGGAAUAGAAAUAUUCGGUAGGGGAGCAUUCUUAAUGGGGCGAAGCAGUACCGAGAGGAGCUGUGGACUGUUAAGAAGAGAGAAUGUUGGCAUAAGUAGCGAGAUGUGAGUGAGAAUCUCACAGGUCGAAAAUCUAAGGUUUCCUGAGGAAGGUUCGUCCGCUCAGGGUUAGUCGGGACCUAAGCCGAGGCAGAUAUGCGUAGGUGAUGGACAAUCGGUUGAUAUUCCGAUACCGGUAUAAAGCGUUAAACGAUGGGGUGACGCAGGAGGAUAGGGUAGCACACUGCUGGAAUAGUGUGUAGAAGUGUUCGAGGGAGACAGAGGAGGAAAAACCCUUCUGUCAAUUCUGAGGCAUGAUGAUUACCCGAGUUCACGCUGCCAAGAAAAGCCUCUAAGGAGCAAUAUACUGCCCGUACCGCAAACCGACACAGGUAGAUGAGGAGAGAAUCCUAAGACCAUCGGAAGAAUUGUUGUUAAGGAACUCGGCAAAUUAACCCCGUAACUUCGGGAGAAGGGGUGCCAGAGCAAUCUGGUCGCAGUGAAAUGGCCCAAGCAACUGUUUAGCAAAAACACAGGUCUCUGCUAAAGCGAAAGCUGAAGUAUAGGGGCUGACGCCUGCCCGGUGCUGGAAGGUUAAGGGGAAUGCUUAGCGCAAGCGAAGGUGUGAACUUAAGCCCCAGUAAACGGCGGCCGUAACUAUAACGGUCCUAAGGUAGCGAAAUUCCUUGUCAGGUAAGUUCUGACCCGCACGAAUGGCGUAAUGACUUGGGCACUGUCUCAACAACAAAUCCGGCGAAAUUGUAGUGCCAGUGAAGAUGCUGGCUACCCGCGAUUGGACGGAAAGACCCCGUAGAGCUUUACUGUAGCUUAUCAUUGAGUUUCGAUAUUGUCUGUACAGGAUAGGUGGGAGACUGGGAAAUCAUAUCGUCAGGUAUGAGGGAGUCGACGUUGGGAUACCACCCUGAUAGUAUUGGAAUUCUAACCGGCGGCCGGGAAACAGGUCACGGGACAUUGUUAGGUGGGCAGUUUGACUGGGGCGGUCGCCUCCAAAAGAGUAACGGAGGCGCCCAAAGGUUCCCUCAGAACGGUCGGAAAUCGUUCGAAGAGUGCAAAGGCAGAAGGGAGCCUGACUGCGACACCUACAAGUGGAGCAGGGACGAAAGUCGGGCUUAGUGAUCCGGUGGUACCUCGUGGGAGGGCCAUCGCUCAACGGAUAAAAGCUACCUCGG
rnacentral:rRNA from 1 species